GCCAGGCGCAGUGCGUGACUGUAGUCCCAGCUACGUGGGAGGCUGAGGCUGGAGGAUCUCUUGAGUCCAGUAGUUCUGGGCUGUAGUGCGCUAUGUCUAUUCGGUGUCUGCACUAAGUUCAGCAUCAAUAUGGUGACCUCCCGGGAGCGGGGGACCACCAGCUUGUCUAAGGAGGGGUGAACCUGCCCAGGUCGGAAAUGGAGCAGGUCAGAACUCCCGUGCUGAUCAGUAGUGGGAUCGCACCUGUGAAUAGCCACUGCACUCCAGCCUAGGCAACAUAGCAAGACCCCAUCUCU
rnacentral:SRP_RNA from 1 species